rnacentral:rRNA from 1 species
GACGAACGCUGGCGGCGUGCCUAACACAUGCAAGUCGUACGAGAAAGUUGGCUUCGGCCGAUGAGUAAAGUGGCGCACGGGUGAGUAAUGCGUGGAUAAUCUGCCCUUUAGUUGGGAAUAACGUACCGAAAGGUGCGCUAAUACCUGAUAAUACUGCAUAACUACUGUUGUGUAGUCAAAGAAGGCCUCUGUUUACAAGCUUUUGCUGAAGGAUGAGUCCGCGUACCAUUAGCUGGUUGGUGGGGUAAUGGCCUACCAAGGCUACGAUGGUUAGCUGGUCUGAGAGGAUGAUCAGCCACACUGGAACUGAGACACGGUCCAGACUCCUACGGGAGGCAGCAGUGAGGAAUAUUGCGCAAUGGGGGCAACCCUGACGCAGCAACGCCGCGUGAGUGAGGAAGGUUUUCGGACCGUAAAGCUCUGUCGAGCGGGAAGAAAUGUAUCAUGGCUAAUAUCCAUGAUACUUGACGGUACCGCUAAAGG